rnacentral:rRNA from 1 species
CACGUAGUUAGCCGGUGCUUAUUCUUCAGGUACCGUCAUCCUCCCGAGGUAUUAGCCCAGAAGAUUUCUUCCCUGACAAAAGCGGUUUACAACCCGAAGGCCUUCUUCCCGCACGCGGUAUGGCUGGAUCAGGCUUGCGCCCAUUGUCCAAAAUUCCCCACUGCUGCCUCCCGUAGGAGUCUGGGCCGUGUCUCAGUCCCAGUGUGGCUGGUCGUCCUCUCAGACCAGCUACAGAUCGCAGGCUUGGUAGGCCUUUACCCCACCAACUACCUAAUCUGCCAUCGGCCGCUCCAAUCGCGCGAGGUCUUGCGAUCCCCCGCUUUCACCCUCAGGUCGUAUGCGGUAUUAGCGUAGCUUUCGCUACGUUAUCCCCCAGACUGGGCACGUUCCGAUGUAUUACUCACCCGUUCGCCACUCUCAAGGGUUGCCCCCUCUACCGUUCGACUUGCAUGUGUAAGGCAUACCGCAGCGUUCAAUCUGAGCCAGGAUCAAACUCU